GCAUAGUUCUUUUCACUCUUUCCUUCUGUCUUAUUCUCACUGUGCCUCUAUUUUUUUCCAAAAUGUUAAAGGCGGAUGCAAUAUAUAAAUCUUAUAUGCAAAAAUGAAUUCACCAUACAUAUAAAGGCCAACACUAUGCUAAUGGGAUAUCGGUAGGGAAUUCAUUAGUAUUAAAAUCUGAAUAUGUAGAGGAAACCAGUCUUGAGGGAGGGGCAAUGAUAGGUUUGCUUGAACCCUAGCAUAUAUCGGGCAAAUUAAAUAGCCUUUACACUUUGUGAGCUGAGAGGGAUCUGUUGUGUCUUUGUGUUUGUAACAAUCACUUUGAGCGGUGGAAACUGUUGCCUAUUUUUUACCUCCAGAUAAAAAAUGGCAAGGGGUUGUUGUUAACUAGUUAUUAAUAAUUAUUCUAUUUUUUUCUUAAAAUAUAGAUGCCAAUUUUUUAACUUUGCAUGUUUGAAAAAUUAUUUUUCUGCACUCUUAUUGGCUAAAAAUUUCUACUCGAUAUGGGCAAUUAUUGCGGGUACUGGCGGUAUGUUGCAAAAAUAAUUAAGAUAAGGAUGCUACAUCGAGCUGCAAAAAUAAUUAGGAUAAGGAUGCUACAUCGAUUCUUCUAAUCUUAUUUCGGUCUUAUCUGAAUAACAUUGCUUUGUUCACUGACAGGAGACUAAUCUUAUCUUUAUCUCCUGGAAUUGAAGUGUAUAACAGUCGGGGAUCCGAUUCACAGAGGCAAAAAUUAGCAAAUUUCUCCUUGUAGAACUACUCGUGAAGAUGGACAAACGUUCUCCUACAUUUUUUUUACAAAGACAAAAGUUACUUAUUCUCCAAAACAAUGCGAAUCGGAGGGACCUCCUAUGUUGGUUGUGUUGUAAAGAGUAAGAAGGAAGCUGAAAUAAAUGUUGCCUUUGUAGCAUUUCAAGCCAUCAAAGGACAAGUAGCCACUCAAACCACUGACCUAUUGAAAUCUAUUACAAGGGUUCCUCGCUUCCAGCUUCAACUUCAGGGUGAAAGCAGCAUGAGUCAUGAGUUGAAACGGCCUACCAAAGAGUGCAAGCAUAUUAUGCCUGAAUUGAAGAGAAUAACUAAUAGUUUUCCUCCAUGCAAUAACUUCUUGGUGGGAAACAACCUUGAGCAUGCUGAGAAUUCCUGCAAAAUGUCAAUUUGGGGACUACAUGUACAAUUGAAGAGGGCCCUAGAAAUUUAAAUGUAAAUGAUGAAAAUUCGGCACCUUUGACAGAACCACAUAACCAGCUUGAGUGAGAAGCUUUUCUGAUUCAGUUAGAGUAGAAAAAGACUGAAGCACAGAAGCAAGGUGUGCAGGAGGUUAAUUUAUAAGAUUCUAUAAUUAAGAGAAAUAGAAGUGACUGGGAAUUGUGGACAGAUAAGUGGCAAGAUGAACCAUAGGAUCAUUUCAACAGCACAUCAACAAACAACAGAAACUAUCUGAUAUUCCAAAGUUGUUGCUUCACAGGCUCUUCUUCAACGUGAGAUAUUCUUUGUGGAUUGAUGGGAAGCUUGAGCUUUUAGUUGAUCUGCAUCAAAUUCUUGAAAGCUACAGACCCUUUUUCACACACACAUCUCUGGCACCCACCGCGGGGCAAAAGACUACAUUUUUCGGCCUCCAAGACUGACAGCUUAUUUUUUUGUUAUUUUCCAGAUUUCAGUUUUUUUGGAUUUUCGUCCAUACAUCUCGUACGACAUUUACCACAGGCUAAAAUGACAAAUUGUAGGUGUCGUACGAAUUGGAAUCCUGUCUCGUACGAGUUGGAAUCCUGUAUCGUACAUAUUUUCAUUUUGUCGUACGACUUUGUAUUUUCUGGUUAAAAAAGUUAAAAAAGAGGCAAAAUUUCAUGAUUUUUAUUAAUUAUUCUGACGA